rnacentral:rRNA from 1 species
GACGAACGCUGGCGGCGUGCUUAACACAUGCAAGUCGAACGGAAAGGCCCUGCUUUUGUGGGGUGCUCGAGUGGCGAACGGGUGAGUAACACGUGAGUAACCUGCCCUUGACUUUGGGAUAACUUCAGGAAACUGGGGCUAAUCCCGGAUAGGAGCUCCUGCUGCAUGGUGGGGGUUGGAACGUUUCGGCGGUUGGGGAUGGACUCGCGGCUUAUCAGCUUGUUGGUUGGGUAGUGGCUUACCAAGGCUUUGACGGGUAGCCGGCCUGAGAGGGUGACCGGCCACAUUGGGACUGAGAUACGGCCCAGACUCCUACGGGAGGCAGAAGUGGGGAAUAUUGCACAAUGGGCGGAAGCCUGAUGCAGCAACGCCGCGUGCGGGAUGACGGCCUUCGGGUUGUAAACCGCUUUCGCCUGUGACGAAGCGUGAGUGACGGUAAUGGGUAAAGAAGCACCGGCUAACUACGUG